GAGGCAGAGGUAGAGGACAGUGAGAGGGGAAUGGAAGGGGGAGAACAAGGGAGGUGGAAGCAUGUGACUGUGAGAAGCAGGCCAAGGAAAAGGAGGGCCAGUGAGGGGGGAAUAGAACUCGGGAACAGGUUUGGGUGUUUGGAUAACGAGGUGGAGGGGCAGCAGGUGGUGACUGAAGGUGGGAGGGUGAGGAAGAAGAGAAGAGCAGCUAGUCCGAGAGAGAGAGAGGGGAGGAGUUGAUGGAGACAGCACCAAUUCUGGGCCCCCGGAGGAUUCAGGAAGGCUUAAGGGGGAGCAUAAGGGAAGAUAGGAACAGACACAGGUCAGGACUAGAGGGAUCAGAGACUAGAUCACAGUGUUGCCAGGCAACGGCAGGUGUAUGUAAUUGGAGACUCUUUACUGAGGAGAUUGGACAGGCCUGUGACCAGGGCAGACCCAGAGAACAGAAGGGUGUGCUGUCUACCAGGCGCAAAGAUACACGAUGUGGACCUGCAGUUGAAAAGGAUCCUAAAAGGAGCAGCAGGUGACCAUGAGCGACAUCACUCUGAUGCGUAUUUCUGACAGCGAGAAAGAACGCUUGCUUCGGGAAAGCCUCCAAAGACCAGGGCCGUAUGCCGCCAUGCUGUGCAAGGCAAUGAUCCCGGAGUACUUGAUGGUAGCCUGGCGCGGAAACGUUUCCUACUACGGAGGACACAACAAGGCCGCUCUCCCAAGGAACCUCAUGCAAAGGCUUUCCAAUUACCUCCAGGAGAGCUUCAUGGAGAUGUCCCAUGAGGAUUUCUGCUCUAUCCCCGGAUAUAUUGACCGAAUUUUACUGUAGUUGCACUGGCAAGGGCUAAACAGUACAGCGCCUAGGGCAAACCAAUCAAGAUUUACCGGACAUUGUUAGAUUUUUUUUUGCAGCAGUUGCACUGCCAAAGACUAGAACUUUAAGUGCCUAGGACAAUCUAAUCAUGAAAAAGCCACAGUUAAUAUUUAUAUUCUUUUAUAAAUAAAUGUUUACAUGUUUAAACCA